CAAACCGGUGAUUGGAUUACUAAAUCCUUCUAAAGCUUUAUAUUUAAUUCGCUAUAUUAUAAAAGAUUGAUAGUUAUUCAUAUUGAAUAAUAUAAUAUUUAGUAAGUUGUUUGAUAAAUAUAUUGAGAUUUAUUUUAAUUAGUGAAUAUUAGUGCUGUGAAUAUUGUUCGAUUUACCGAAUCUGGUUUGUUUCUUGUGAGUUUUUUGGAUACCGUGUAUAGCCUAGCCUACUGGAAAAUGAUCAGAUGGAGAAAGCUGAGGAAAAAGCUGCGAAAUUGAAAGCUGAGAAGUCGUCGAGUAACGAAGUUGUUAAAGUAAAGAGAAGAAUAUUUGACAGUAAAGUCGAACAGCUCAUCAUUGAAGCAAAAAAUGGUGCAUACUAGAUGAACUAACUACUGGUUCAAGGUGCUAGAUGUUCAACACACUAGUCUUACGAAGUCACCAAGUUAGCUAAUCAUUAGAUGACAAUAGACAUGGGAUUGUCUUGCUCUAAUGAGUUGAUAUGUAGGUAGAAUUUGCAUUUUUUUAUGUCUAGUCUAGAGUCUCAAAUGUAAAAAUGUUCUUCAAUGGUUCAUACUAGACUUACGAAAUCACCAAGUUAGCUAAGUCAAUAAGUUUUAGAUGACAAUAGACAAUGAAUUGUCUUGCUUUGAUGAAUUGAUAUGUAGGUUAUUUACUUAAUCUAUUGUACAUAAGUAUUUAGUAUAAUUUAUAAUUUUGUUUCUGUUUUGUAUAGUUAAAUUUUCAUUUUAUUUUAAUGAUGUAAUGUGCUUUUUUGGCGAAAUAAAUUCAAUU